rnacentral:lncRNA from 1 species
GAAUUUUUUUGGGGGGAGGAAAUAUUUCACCUUCAGAAUCCUUAAUUUUUCCCUUUUUAUUUAUUAGAAGAUCUUUAAAUUAAUACAAUUGAAGAAAUUGUGAAUAAAAAGGACUCUGAACACAUUUUGCAGUUGCUUAUUCUUUCAGUGGUAUUCUCAAAGUGUAGUACUCUUGUAUUGGAGUCAGUCCCUAGAGUACAAUGCAUUACUUUGGAUUAGUCAGUGCAGUUUUGUAAUGGCUGGAGUGAGUCACACAUUGACAUACUCACACAUCCACACUUUUUUUUUUUUUUUUUUUUUUUAACGCACCAUCUGAGGAAGAACUGAAGUUUGUGCACUGAGGGAAGAAAAUGUCUUUGGAAUUCUGCUGGAAUAAUUGUGACUGCAAGCCAAUAUUCUCAUUACAGGUCCUCAUUUCACCUAACUCAGAAGAGCAAAGUGGGAACAGUAUGCUUUGGGUCAGAUGAGCACUGAUGAGGAACAGCCACAAUGUCCAUAUGUCCAUAACUGGAGUCAGGAUCAAGCCUAAUAAAGAGAGCCAAGGAUCAUCAUCAGAAAUUUCUCAUGAACCAAUGUUUUAUCAAUUUCCCAUAACCCUUCUUAAUGAAAGUUGA